rnacentral:rRNA from 1 species
GCAAGUCGAACGGUAACAUGAGAGCUUGCUCUUGAUGACGAGUGGCGCACGGGUGCGUAACGCGUAUGCAAUCUACCCUUUACUGGAGAAUAGCCCUUGGAAACGAGGAAUAAUACUCCAUAGUAUAACAAUUUCGCAUGUUAUUGUUAUUAAAGCUUCGGCGGUAAAGGAUGAGCAUGCGUCCCAUUAGUUAGUUGGUAAGGUAACGGCUUACCAUGGCAACGAUGGGUAGGGGGCCUGAGAGGGUGAUC